UACGGAGGGUGCAAGCGUUGUCCGGAUUUAUUGGGUUUAAAGGGUGCGUAGGCGGCCUAUUAAGUCAGCGGUGAAAUCCCACAGCUCAACCGUGGAACUGCCGUUGAUACUGGGAGGCUUGAGUGAAGUCGAGGCGGGCGGAACUGGUAGUGUAGCGGUGAAAUGCAUAGAUACCACCAAGAACCCCGAUUGCGAAGGCAGCUCGCUUGGCUUUAACUGACGCUGCGGCACGAAAGCGUGGGGAGCGAACAGG
rnacentral:misc_RNA from 1 species